GACGAACGCUGGCGGCGUGCUUAACACAUGCAAGUCGAACGAUGAAGAAGAGAAACGCGAACUUCGGUUCAAAUUUCACUUCGGAUUAGUGGCAGACGGGUGAGUAACGCGUGAGCAACCUACCCCUUACAAAGGGAUAGCCUCGGGAAACCGUGAUUAAUACCAUAUUACACAUUCAUAAGGCAUCUUAAGAAUGUUAAAGCUACGGCGGUAAGAGAUGGGCUCGCGUCCCAUUAGCUAGUUGGUGAGGUAACGGCCCACCAAGGCGACGAUGGGUAACCGGCCUGAGAGGGUGAACGGUCACAUUGGAACUGAGACACGGUCCAAACUCCUACGGGAGGCAGCAGUGGGGAAUAUUGCACAAUGGAGGGAACUCUGAUGCAGCGACGCCGCGUGAGCGAUGAAGGAAUUCGUUUCGUAAAGCUCUGUUCUAUGGGAAGAAAAGGACUGUACCAUAGGAGAAAGCCCCGGCUAAAUACGUG
rnacentral:rRNA from 1 species